UACGUAGGGGGCGAGCGUUGUCCGGAUUCAUUGGGCGUAAAGAGCUCGUAGGCGGCUUGGCAAGUCGGAUGUGAAAACUCCAGGCUCAACCUGGAGCCGCCAUUCGAUACUGCUAUGGCUAGAGUCCGGUAGGGGAGUGUGGAAUUCCCGGUGUAGCGGUGAAAUGCGUAGAUAUCGAGAGGAACACCUGCGGCGAAGGCGGGUUGCUGGGCUGACACUGACGCUGAGGCGCGAAAGCUAGGGGAGCGAACGGG
rnacentral:rRNA from 1 species